AUUAACCUCUUCAAAUGAGUAUUUUGUCAACCAUAUCUAAUUUUGUUAGCAAAUUCAUGCUGUACAAGAUUUUUGAUACUUAAUACACAGAAAUAUGUUUUUGAAAGAGCAAGAACCUUGGUGCUCUACCUAAUGGAUACUGGUAAGCCAGCACUCUUAUUUUGAAAUAAUGUGUCUAAGUUUUCAAGAUAUUAUUUAAAAUUUAUUUUGAUAUUUAAUAUUGUUAUUGUAAGUUUUAUCCAUCUCCAGGGUGAAACUUGGCACUUGUUUUUCUUGAGGAGGCACUUUGUCUCUGCUGGAAAAGUCAACAUUUGAUAAAAUUUGAGACCUGUCGUAGGAAUAAGUGCACUUCACAUUGUGAUGUAUUGUUUCCUUUUACCUGAUGUUUGGCAAAUAAAGUGAAAAAAGUCAUUCGAAGGGAUCAUAUAUGAGGUUUGAGGUAUUCCAAUGUGAUUUUAUUAGCUUCUUCAGUUACUGGAAAAAUUGUGUUAUCUCUUUCAAGGCUUUGUAAGGAUAAUUAAUCCCAGUCUCAUCAAAUCUCUAAUCUAGUUUUUCUAGUUUGGGAAAAAGCAUGAAACAUAUAGAAUGCUUUUAGGAGUUGUCAUUCAUUAAUUAAAUUUGCUGCCAAAGACAAUAUCCAAUUAGUCAAUCACUGUUGUUAACGAGUGGAUCCAUGAAUUUGGAGCUUCACACUUCUUUUUAAAUUGGAGCUUCACACUUUUUCGAGUCCAUGAUGAGAAUAUCCUUGGCAAUGUGGACACCCAAUCCUUAUAUUUCAAGGCUUUGCUGAGUGAGUUCAUUGCCCUCUGUUUGGAGAUAUUUAACUUAUAGUUCAUUGUUAGAACAACUAUGAACAGUUUGAUGUUUUUUUUAUCUCCUAAAGGAGAAUGAUUUAUUAGUGAAGAUGGAGAAUCAGGGGCACAUCAUCCCUGCAAAUGAGUUGCAUUAUCUCUCCAAUAUCAGAUAGGGGCACUAAUAGGUUUUAUUUUGUUGAAAAUUUUGUUGGAAGGUUUGGGAAGAUAAUUGCACUCUUGAGAUCUCCUUUUUUCAAAAUAUCCUUUCAGAUGGAGUUUUAGAACUAGUUGAGCAUUUUCAAAGUUAUAGAACUCCAACAGCAGUGUUGCUUUAGUUUAGUAAAAAUGUCCAUUUUGGUAGAAAGAAUGGGUGAUUUUUUCUGCAGGAAGGACAUUUAUUAUAAAGCAGCAUUAAUACAUUAACUGUUUCAGGUUCUUAGCUAUAAUUAUAAAUGAUUAAAAGAUGGAUUAAAAAUGCCAUAGCAAGCUUUACAGUGAACUAAAUAGACAUGGAUGACUUCCAGAGAAACACAUGAACAUGCAAUACACGAGUGGCUAUUUUCAAUACAAAGUGACAGAGGUAAUGAUUUAUUUUCUUCUUCUUGUCUAUCUCUCUCCUCUUUGCUCUGGGGCGAGCCCACCUUUUCCACAGUUUGUCAGACCAAAUCCUUGGCAGUCAUAGCAACUGAAACAUGCAACUCAGCAGUUGAAAUUGGAGAUCUGAGGCAGCUUGGCAGCCCCAACUGAAGUGUGUAUGCAGCUUUGCAAGCACAUGUAUCAAGGCAGGAGGACAUCAGUAAACUGAUCAUACUUGUUCCUCUCCCACACGAUGUGCAGUACCGCAAUCCAUGCUGAAAGAAAUGUCUUCACCUUUGCCCUCCAUUAGUGCAUGUCCAGAGCUUUCAGAAGCUUGCUCAUGGCACUGCCACCAUGUCACAGAAGAGACAGAAAUUUUUAAUCUUAGAACAAGUUAGAGCAGUGCUUUAAUCAUGGACAGGGAGUGAAAAAAUUUUCAUACAUGGCAUGCAGUGUUUCAGGAACUUGCCGUGGUGCAUAUUGCUCACUGCCCUUCAGAUACUGGAUGCUAAUGUUUUCUCUCUGCAAUGCUCUUGUUUGCUCCAAGGACAUCCUACUUUUAUCAGCAAGGAUUGCACCAAUCCAACACAGAUACUAUUUCGAUGUCCUAGCAAUGAAUGAGUGUUGUUUGUCAAUUGUGAACUGAGUUGAUGAGCAGAUGUUUAAAUUAUCAAAUAAAAGGCGGUGAGUGAUGGCACAGGGGCCACUGCAUGCUGGCUUCUGACAUUACAGUGGAAAUUGACUUGUUCUCUAUGACUGAAUUGUUUGUCUGAGUGAAUUUACUUCAAGAAUCCCUCUGAAUUAUGUCUCCCAUGUGAAGUGGGGGCUUCCUUUGUUUCCAUUAGCUUCACAAGCUAAUCAUUCAACAAGAACCAAGUGUGAAAUCACUGGAGGAUAGUUCAUGGGAACAAUAAGUUUAUUUAAAAACUCCUUGAAGCUCUCAAGAGGAGAGAAGUCAAAAGCAACUUCAGGUUGGAAAUGGCAUCACCUGCUACAUAUUAUAUACAAUGUAAUGCUUGAUUAUAUAUGUUUUGUAGUGUGCUCACAGUUCAUAAAAAGUAAUGAAGACUUUGAUCAAAAAGACCUUGGCAGAAGGGUCAUCCUUUGACCUAGUUGAUGUGGGUGCAGUCUUCUAUGCAUAUGACACCUUUUGAAUGCAGAAAAAGAUGAAAGACAUCUUUGUUUAAGUUUUUUCUCCAAAUUUUCUCCACUUGAUGUCUUUGACACUAUCAGACAUGGAUGCACUGUGGGAAUUUUAUUGAAUUUAUGGUCCAGGGCUCUAGAAAUUCAGACCAAGUCCAGUCUUCGGAUUCAGAGUAAUAUUGCAUGAGAUCGUUGCAAGAGGUGAAACUUUCUGUCAAGAAAUCCGUUUGAGAAAAAAAAAAUGAGAGGCACCUAUUAAUUCUCUGAAAACAAGAAAUGGAAGAGGGAGAAUUCA